AACCGUCAGAGAAGAUAAGUUUCCCGCCCACUCCUUUUACCUCAUGGCAAAAAAGGUGUCUGUGAAGGAGGAGGACCUGCAACAAUUCAGGAAGCAGGCGGCCUGUGUCGGCUUCUCUGGAGACCCAGACUAUCACUACAACCCCAGUAAAGAGUUCUGUGCUGAAGGUGAAGGCCGACAGAUGACAGUCUGACCAUAAAGCCCUCAAGUGUCAUCAGAAAGUCAUUCUCCAAAAAUAAAAGUGACAGAGUAAAAACAUCAAA